rnacentral:piRNA from 1 species
UGAAAGCCAGCCAGAAGGUGAUGGGGUGU